CUGGUCGCCUCGUGCAAACCCGCUCGUCAGGAAUUAAAUGAGUGUCCUGGGGGUGUCAUUAUGAAGUGGGUUUUUAGCUUGAGGCUGUCCCGUGUCCUGAGUCCUCCCAGUGCUGCCAACAACAGCAAUCAGACAGCUGUAUGCGCAACAUCUACGGCAGCAAAUACAACAGGCUGAUGUGGACAUGCAGUAUAAGAACAAAAAGAUGGAAGACCUUGCACUGUAGUCCCAAAUAAAAAGGACAAAAGGAAUACUGGACCUUCAAAUCAAGACACUUGAGCAGCGCGAAGAAGAUCACGACGAAUGAUAAUAAAGGUAUAAUAAAUAUAUGGUGACCUGUGUUUCAUGUAUGCACGGUUUGGGCAACCAUACAGAUGAAACUAGGCACAGUGAGUAGAAACACUGGCUGUAUUACAUCUAGAAGAAAGGCUCAUUAUGUCCUCAAAAAUGCAAUUUAUUUCCAACAUACAGAAAAACACUUGAUGGCAAUAAAAAGUGAGGCGAGGAAAUUGUUCAGAUAAACUUCAUGUCAUGAGUCGUGUGCUGCUCUCUGCUGCCAUCUAGUGUUCACUCUGUUGCAGCGCUACUAAUCAUCAGAGGAGUUGCUGCUUGCACCUGCAAGCAAGUCUUUGCCAGAACGUCUUCCUAGUUACACCUGAUUCCCUUGCCUUUUGUCCUCCAUCUUGCCUCCAUUGUCUCUUUUUCCUUGUCCUGGUCGCUUCCCACGCCUACUGUGAGUGUGUUUCAUGUUCUCGUGCUUGUGCAGAAGUGUUCUAGUAUUGUGUAUUUUUGGCUACCUAGUUAUGUACUACCGUUUUCCUAUCACCCUUUUGGUGUUAGUGAUUUUCUGUGUUUUGAUCCUUUUUCUCCUAACUGUGUACGCAGUGUUUUUUGUUAGUGACUAUUAUAGUAGUACCUCGCAUAACGUAAACCUCCUUUUACGUAAAUUCCACUGAACGUAAAGAAUUUAUGUAAAUUUUUUGCAUCGUAUUACAAGUACGUAAGGAAUUCCAUAUAACGUAAAGCGUCAAGUCCGUGCAAGCGACAGAGAGACUAACAGAGUAAACUUGGUGGCGCCUUCUGGCUUCACACUCUCAUUGGCUGAUGAUCGGGGCACCGCCUAUGGUCUCAUCUCAUUGGCUGAUGAUCGGGGCACCGCCUACGCUCUCAUCUCAUUGGCUGACUUGUCCAGCGCAUCCAGUUUGUGUGAGCUCCCUUCCUCAUCGUAGUCACCCUUAAACUAGUUCGCACGCAUUGAAACCUCUUUUUAAUUUGUUUACUUUUAUUUGCGUUAAAAUGACCGGAGUCAUGGGCCCUAAACCAAGUGUAAGGGAGAAGGAAAAAAGGGAAAAGCUGUCGAUUGAAACAAAGCAGGAAAUGAUCCAGAAGCGUGACGCUGGUAUGAAAUUAAGUGAUGUUGCUAGACUAUACGGCCGUUCCCCAUCGACCAUGAUACGUUAUUUGCCUUAUUUUAUUUUAGAAUGUUACUCUACUAUGUUUAUGCUGUUUUGUUAUAUUUUCCCACCAUAUUAGGUGGACUUUGA